rnacentral:misc_RNA from 1 species
CGAGGCGCUAGAGGGUCACCUCGCCUCGCCUGGCUCCUCGGAGCGCGUUUAAUAACACUGGUACCCAUUUAACAGAGUGUCUGUCUAAAACAGUUUGAGGAAAAACUUGAGCUGCAUCAUCAGCAACUAAUUCAGGGGGGCAGAUAAGCAAUGACUGGAUGAUCUCCAAUUGCUUUCUUCAAUUGAGAAGCAUGAAACACGCGGUGGACUUUGGAAGAGGAGGGCAAGAUAAGACGGUAGGCAAUUGGACCAAGUCGAGCUAUAAUUGUAAAAGGGCCAUAGUAUUGAGCAGCAAGUUUUUGAUUAGUACAGGACACCACUAAGUGUUGUCGAUAGGCUCGUAGCUUAAGGAAAACUUUAUUACCCACUUGGAACUCCACAUCUCGGCGAUGUUUAUUAUGUUGAUGGAUCAUCUGCUACUGAGCCCUGUGGAGAUUGGUUUUUAACUGAUGCAACAUUUCAUCUCUGUUCUUUAGUGCUUGAGCAACAGCCUCAACAUGAAUUUCUCUAGGUAAAAAGUUGGGAAUAGAAGGUGGAGGUGGGUCAUAGACAAUUUCAAAUGGAGAAUGUUUAGCAGCUCCAUGAUAACUAGUGUUAUACCAGUAUUCUGCCCAAGGGAUCCAACGGGACCAAGAGUGAGGUUGCUCAGAAGCAAAACAACGCAAAUAGUGCUCCACACUUCUGUUGAGGACUUCCGUUUGGCCAUCCUUCUAUGGGUGAUAUGCAGAGCUUAAAUUCAAUUUGGUACCCGUAUUGAGAAAAAGUUCAGACCAAAAAUUACUAAUGAAAAUAGGGUCUCUAUCACUGAUGAUUGAAGUUGGUAUUCCAUGAAGGCGAACAAUCUCGUGAAUAAACAAAUCUGCUACCCCGAGCAGUGUAAGGGUAUUGGAGAAGCAAGAAGUGAGCAUAUUUGGAUGACAGAUCUACCGCCACCAGGAUGGAGUCCAUGCCAUGAGAUUUAGGAAGUCUUGCAAUGAAAUCCAGAGAGAUAUCUUCCUACACAUUUUUUGGAAUUGGCAAAGGCUGGAGAAGACUAGCAGGACUAAGAGAUUCAUACUUAUGUUUCUGGCAGCUUAAAUAUGAAGCAACAAAGUGUUGGACCCACUUCAUCAUACCUCUCCAGUAAAGUCUAGAAGCCAAACGACGGCAAGUGCGAAAAGCACCUGAAUGGUCGCCUGUUGGAGUUGAGUGAAACUCAGAAAUUAGGUGAGAGACCCAGGGGGAAUUUUUGGGCAAAACCAAUCAUCCUUUGUAGAAAAGGUAUAAGAGAAUAGGCUAAAUUGGUUUGUAAAUAAUGGCUCGAUGAUAAGAAUCAUUCUGGACAGCCUCCUUAAUAUCCUCUAAAUCCAACCACUGAGGAUGACAAAUGGCAGUAAGUUCAAAAUCCUUGUCGGUACGGCACGGAGAAAGAGCAUCAGCAAUGCCAUUGAUGCGCCCUGGUUUGUACUGGACCAUGAAAGAAUAUCUCAAUAACUUCAAAAUCCACUGUUGCUAUGUUGGAGUUACAAUUCGUUGUUCCAGCAAGUGUCUUAAGCUUAUUUGAUCUAUAAGAACCGCAAAUUUAUGACCCAAAAGGUAUGGUCGCCAGUGGUGAACAGCCAUAACCAAGGCCAUCAACUCUUUUUCAUAUGCUGAGUUAGAAAGAGUUUUGUGUGAGAGAGCUUUACUAAAGUAAGCCACAGGUUGUCCUCUUGCAUUAAUACCGCACCCACCCCUUUGCUAGAGGCAUCGCACUCAAUGACAAAAGGUAGAUCAAAAUUGGGCAUAGACAAGACAGGAGUAGAGACCAUUAUCUGUUUCAAAUUAUCAAAGGCAGAUUGGGUUGAUGCUGGCCAGUGAAAAUGGAUUUGAGCAUCCUUAGUAGUUAAAACUAUGAGCGGUUAUGCAAGAAGGCCAUACUUGUGAAUGAAACGGCAGUAAUAACCCGUUAAGCCAAGAAAACCCUGAAUGCCUUUUACUGUCUUGGGAAUAGGCCACUGUAAAAUAGCCGAUAUCUUAGAAGGAUCCAUUGCAACACCUUCUUUAGAAAUUAUAUGACUUAAAUACUCGAUGGAUGAAUGCCCAAAGGAGCACUUCUUGUGAUUGGUAGUAAAGUGAUGAUGUCGGUGAGCAUGUAAAACCGUUUCAAGAUGUUGAAGAUGCUCUUGCCAAGACUUAUUAUAGACUAGGAUUUCGUCAAAGAAAACCAAGACAAAACGGUGAAGUAGGGCCGGAAUAUAUCAUUCAUGGUUGCCUGAAAAGUUGCCAGCGCAUUAGUCAAACCGAAAGGCAUGACUAAAAAUUCAUAAUGACCGGAAUGUGUCUGAAAUGCGUUUUCAGAAUGUCUACUUCCGUUACCCGAAUUUGAUGGUAUCCUACACGAAGGUCAAUUUUAGAUAAAAAAACAAGACCCAUGUAGUUCAUCCAAAAGUUCUUGGAUAACAGGAAUUGGAUACUUAUCGGGAACGAUGGCUCGAUUUAAUUGCCGAUAGUCGACGCAAAAGCUCCAGCUACCAUCUUUCUUUUAAACGAAUAAUACUGGGCUUGAAAAAGGACUGUUACCAGGUCGAAUAAUUCCAGCAGCUAACAUUUCCUUUACUAGAUGCUUAAUUUCAUUUUUUUUUUUACUGUGACCAUAGUGAUAAGGCCUGACGGAAAUUGCUCCUGUUCCCGGUUGAGGUGGAAUGGAGUGUUUCGAUGCUCGGGAAGGAGUUAGAGAAGUAAUGUCAUUGAAUACAUGUUGAUAAUUCUAUAAAAGAGCAUGUAAUUUAGCCUAUUGAUCAGAAGUGAGUGCAGUAGGUGGUGGAGUCGCAGUAGACAUAGCAGAACAAUUCCACAAAAGAGCACAAUAAUUUACGUCAUGAAUUUUCAGAAGAGAAUUCAAGGAAAUAGGGGACCCAUGCAAGGAAGAGUUGCCUUGAAGAGAGACUACUGCAUUUCCAACAGAGAAGGACAUGUGAAGGGUUUGCCAAUUAACCUUGACCUCUCCUAGUGUCUCUUACCAAGAGAUGCCUAAAAUAAUAUCAAUACCGCCUAGAGGCAAAACAAAAAAGUCUGGCGUAAUAGUGAGAACCCCCCAAAUUGAUGGGUAACCGAGGGCAUAAGCCAAAAGAGAAUUGGCAUGGACCAUCACCAAGGCGAACGGCAAAAGACAUUGUAGGCUCUAAAGAGAGAGAGACAGCUGUUGAAUAAGGCGGUCUGAGACAAAGUAGUGGCUAGCGCCACUAUCAAUCAUUACAAUCAUAGAUUGAUUGGCCACUGUAGCUACGAGCUUCAUAGUUUUUGGGCAAGAUAUACCGCCUACUGAGAAUAAAGGAAGUUCCAUCUUAGUAAAAUGCGUCUCCAGUGACCCAGGAUUACUGCUAGCUGGGUCAGCACACUCUACCAAGGCUAAAUCUCUUGUAUCAACGCCCAAAUCAUCUUCCCUUGCAAUUAGCAUCCGAAGAGCUUUGUUAGGACAAUCAUGCAAAGGGGAAUAAGAUUGCUUCCAGUGAAAACAAAGGGCCUUUACACGCAAUUCCUGAUACUCUUUGUUAGAAUAAAGCCUGGUCUCCUUGGACUUUACUGGAAAAGUGGAAUUGUGGGAUGAAGAAGACAUCGUAGAUGGCAUCAUUAUUGCUUUGAGAGGUGUUGGAGAGGACACCGCUUCAGAUUUAGAAGAGAUGGGCCGAGAUGUUGAGGCAUAAGAGCUAACUGGGCCUAAAUAUUUAAGUUUACCCUUAAGCCCACUUAACUGUUGUUUGCAGUGAUCGAUACUAGAUUGGAGAGGAUGAUAGCCGCCUGUGAGAAUGAUCUUGCGCUCGAUUUCCUGAGCUAUGGACAUAUUACGGCAGAUGUCCGUAGCAUCAUUUUGAAGACGGAUUUGAAGUUCCUCACGCAACCCAUUCAGAAAAUUGCCCACAUAUUGACGGUUUGAGAGAUUAGGAACUUGGGCUGCCUUUGCAACAAAAUCAUCGAUAUAAUCUACGGUUCCAAUUUGUGGCAUUGCCUCAAGGCGUUCAAAAGGACUGGCCAUCAUGUCCGAGCCAUAGCAGCUGACGAGCUCCAUGGAAAACUUCUUACAAGAUAAGUCCGGAAUACACUGUCAUAACCAUCGCGGCCAAUGAAGUGCACUGCCGUCCAUGCAGAUAAAUGCUGUAGCGAGUUUGAGCUCUGGUUUGGUCCCAUCAAUUUCAAAAUACUGUUCCUCUGAGCCAACCAUCCUAGUGGGUCAGAUCCAUUGAAGGAAGAGUAAUUUGCUUGCUCGUAUCGGAAGAAGAGUCAGCAGUAACCUGAGGUUGAGGAAUGUGAGAAGAGGAGCCUUCAACCACCUGGUCAGUAGCGGAUGGUGUAUAAGAGGUGAGAUCACCGUCUUCCAGACUGCAUUUACCACAAGCUUUGUGGUGAGCAGGUUUUAGUUGUGACAAACUCGGAACGAAUCUGUUCAUCGUCUCCAGAUAACUUGGAGAUGUUAUCUUCCAAUGAAGAGAGAUUCCUCUCUAUCGAAUCCAGGCAGGACUCUAUGCGAGUGCUAGGCAUGCGGGUUGCAGGUCAGACCAAUUGAUAGAGUUAGGAAACUCAGUUUAAUAUCAAUAAAAUCA